rnacentral:rRNA from 1 species
CCUACGGGUGGCUGCAGUGAGGAAUAUUGGUCAAUGGACGAGAGUCUGAACCAGCCAAGUAGCGUGAAGGAUGACUGCCCUAUGGGUGGUAAACUUCUUUUAUAUGGGAAUAAAAUGUUCCACGUGUGGGAUUUUGUAUGUACCAUAUGAAUAAGGAUCGGCUAACUCCGUUCCAGCAGCCGCGGUAAUACGGAGGAUCCGAGCGUUAUCCGGAUUUAUUGGGUUUAAAGGGAGCGUAGGUGGUUUGUUAAGUCAGUUGUGAAAGUUUGCGGCUCAACCGUAAAAUUGCAGUUGAAACUGGCAGUCUUGAGUACCGUAGAGGUGGGCGGAAUUCGUGGUGUAGCGGUGAAAUGCGUAGAUAUCACGAAGAACUCCGAUUGCGAAGGCAGCUCCCUGGACUGCAACUGACACUGAGGCUCGAAAGUGUGGGUAGCAAACAGGAUUAGAUACCCUAGUAGUC